UAUGUGCACAGUGACUCAAUAUCACCGAGGGAGGCCCAGGAACCAGCUCUGUUGACCACUCCAAGGCCAGCAGGUCCCUAUUCCUCAGCAGACACCUCCACGGAAGAAGCUGGGCUGGCAUAUCUCCUCUCCCAGGCCUGCACAGUGUUCCUGGAUCCAAGGAUGGCUGCAGGGGUGGAGGGCAUCUUCAGGCACCAUCACAGGAAAGCAUCAGGGAUGUAGAUGGGGUGAAGUGGACAAGGUGGGGGAGCCUUGUGGAGAAGGUGAACUCUCAGUCCCAUCUUGAAGGAGAAGACAUGGAUGCCAGCCUGUCUCUCCAGAGGCAUCUUUUUAACAUUUCAAACCACAGUGAGUGAUGGAAUGCAAUAAAGAUUAAUUACAACUGGGAAAUGGAUGCUGAAUGAAGGCAAAGAAGCCCCUCUGCAUCUUGGGCAAUAUUAGCAAUAAAUCUCAAGAUCACAGGGCUCAACAUUCAUUACUGAAUACAAAUGCCUACCAUCUCCUUCACCAGAAUGCAAAGACACCAAGACGCUGGGCUUUGCCUGACAGUCACCGUUGGAUGAAAAAUUAAGCCUGACAUUUCUCAAGCCUGGUUUCAUACUGAGAAAUUGUCACCACUGUGUCAACAGUUAUGGAAGUCUCAAAAUAAAGUUACCUUGCACAUA